rnacentral:lncRNA from 1 species
AACCAGGAGGGUCUGCAAGCCGCAUGUGAGCCCAUUGCCUUUUCCGGAUGCUGGUGGAGGUGGAGACAGACUGCGGACCCGCAGAAUGAGGCUAACAGUGUUGAUGGUGGCCCCGCCCUCAGGGUCCUGGCCCUGCCAACCGUGAAAAAGUUCCAGGGGACCAGAAGUCUUAGACUGGCUACUACCCACGACCACUCACUCGAGACCUGCCGAUCUUUGGUGUCAUUGACAGUUAUCGGAGGGGUGAAAUUUGGGCCAGGGACCCCUCCCCCUUGUCCCAAUGGAGAGGCCCAUUUCUCCCACAUACAGAAAGGUAACCCAGAGGGACGCAGGUCAGUCACUUCAGGAUUUAUUGCAACACUUGAUUUGGGUCACCAUCACCUGGUAUGGUUAAGCCUGUGGGUAGGUCCUUGAGACACAGCCUCAAUGGCCAUGUGUGGUAUGGCCCAACAGCAGGUUCUGGAUUUGUAUUAGGUGAAAAUCAGGCUGGCUGAUCCCUCUGUUUGCAUUGGGAAUUCCCCAACUUUCUGGCAUUAGGAACAGCAGAGUUCAGGAUGGUCAAGUCUGUGUGUUUGUGUUUCUAAUACAUGGACAGGGAUCUCGGUCCCACAGCAGGUCAGCCCAGUUGCCACCCACUGCUGCUCAGCCAGGCACGACGCGUGAUAUGUUCUUAGGCCACAGUGCUAGUCCUAGGAGUGAAGAUUGUCCCCCUGGCCUGUACCCGCCCCCUUGGAAGUGGUGUUCCCAGCCCAGGUGUCAGGACACCAUGAAAUCAUUGUGCCCAUUUCAGCGGCUGUAACCGCCUCUCCACCUGUACCUACUGCACCCAGAAGUGUGUCCAAGAGGGUCAUUGCCAGAGGACCAGGGACUUUCCGUGGGCCCACGUGCCUUAGGAAGGCAGUCUGGUCACUGAAUGUGCCAUUCCCAGAAAGGAAACCUGUCUCUGCCACUUCUGGGUAAUGAUGGGACAGAGGGGUGGAAAGUUACAUGAACUCUUCCAGAUUCCAGCCUGAGCAUGGUGCUUUCUGUCUUCUAACAGCAACCACAGGCCAGCCGAAAAGGGCCAGAGGAUUCAACCUAAGUCUUCUUCACCUGGAUUCUCUCUUUGGAUUGAUAUGGUUCUAGAUCAGGAGCUGACAGAUUAUAGCGUAUGGGCAAAAUGCAGUUUGCUGUCUGUUUAUGCAGCCUGUGAAAAUAUGUACGAGGCCAUUAGACUGGGUGACUCUCAUGCCUUGGGAACUACACAAGCAGAUCAGAAGCUAAGCCAGAGUCCGUUCCUGUAAAUGCACUCCUAUCUGAGAAAAUGAAAUUUAAGAACACCUAAUCACAGUCAACUAGAUUUCCCCAAAUAAGGCACCUGCUUAAGCCAUAACCAGUCACACAGUUUCCCAGUUUUGCUCCUGCGUCUAUAAACAGCUCUCCCUUUUCUCCUGCCAGCACAGCACUCCUGAUGUCUCAGUGUGGUCCUGCCUGGCUCCAGGCAGUGUUUGUUCAAACAUAAACUCUUCAAAAAUUUAAUGUACCUCAGUUUACCUCUUAAAAGGCCUAAAAGCUAAGAAGGGUUUUUACAUUUUUAAAUGGGAAAAAUGACUAUUUUAUGACGUUUGAAAAGUAUGUUGAAAUCACAUUUCAGUGUGACCAAAUAAAGUUUAUUGGAACAGAGCUGGCCCUUUUGUGUGCAGGCUGGCUCUGCCCACUCUUGUAUUCAAGGGCCAAGUUCACACUUGCUGGUCUUGCCUGGUUAACUUGGGUAAAAUCUUCAUGCCCUCCAACCUUUGAGGAAUUACUUUUCCUCUCAACUCUUAGUGCGGUUUGUUCAUAUAAAUGUCCCAAUACAACCAGGAAUUCGAUAGAAACCACUCUAGAGUUUACAUUCCAGUCUAGAGCCUCCCCUGCACAAGUGUAGGGUGAGGAGUCCUUAGCUGCAUCCACGUGAGACAUGGGACACUGGCCUGCCCGGCAAGACUUUGUGAAAUCAAGCUGCCUCAGCACCUAAAAUGCCUGGAGCCCUUGAAGAGCAUCUGUGCGUGUCCUGUGAGCUGGUGGCCCUUUGGCAGAGGGGGUGGAGGAGGGCCACCUGUGGGAUAGUGCAAGGUUUUGGGCAUUCUGUUCUACUUUAAAAGGUAUUUUCCAACAUGGGCUUCAGUAGAUGUAACAGUGAACGUUUUUAAGAAUACCCAGAACUCUAUUUCAGAGUAGAUAUUAAAAUACCUUGGAUUUUUUUUUUUUUUGAAGCAAUAAGCUCAUAAUUUUGACUUGAAACUACUUUUUACUCAAUCAGGCUAAGCUUUGAUUCAUGACAUUGGAUUGGAACCACCAAGCUUCCUGGAAGCUUCACAAAGGUGUGGGGGGUGCAGAGCCCAGGUGAGUUUACACAGUGUGCGUGGCGUGCACUCAGAACCUAGGAAAUUUUGUCGCACGAAUGAAUGCUGCAUUUG